rnacentral:tRNA from 1 species
UAAGAAUGGCCGAGCAGGUGAUAAAUUUUUAAUUUAUUAACAGAAUUUCUUCUUUCUUAA